rnacentral:rRNA from 1 species
AAAUACCGAUGCGGGACCCUACGGGUGCCGCGUUCGGAAUGAGUACGAUUCGAACCACCUAACGAGGAACGAUCGGAGGGCAAGUCUGGUGCCAGCAGCCGCGGUAAUUCCAGCUCCAAUAGCGUACGUUAAAGUUGCUGCAGUUAAAAAGCUCGUAGUUGAACGUUCGGGUUCCGCGGGACGGGGCCGCCCCGCGAGGGGACGGCGCCGCCCCGGGGCUCGUGAUAUCUCAUCUCGCCGCCCGUCGCGAGGCGGACGGAGGGAUGGAUGAGGUUACCUGGAAAAAAUCGGGGCGAUCUAGGCGGGCGAACCUCGCCAACGAACGAUCGGACAUGGGAUAACGGAAGAGGGCGUCGGCUCGACUUCGUCGGUUCCUCGGGCCGAGGCACGUACGGUGAAUAGGGACGGUCGGGGCCGCCCGUACCGGGUCGUGAGAGGUGAAAUUCUAGGAUCGACCCGAGACGAACCGCCGCGAAAGCAUUCGGCAAGGACGCUUUCAUUAAUCAAGAACGAAAGUCGGGGGAUCGAAGACGAUCAGAUACCGUCGUAGUCCCGACCGUAAACGAUGC